AGAGUUUGAUCAUGGCUCAGAGCGAACGCUGGCGGCGUGCUUAACACAUGCAAGUCGAACGUGAAAUGUAGCAAUACAGAGUAAAGUGGCGUACGGGUGAGUAACACGUGGGUAAUCUACCAAAGAGUCUGGAAUAACCGGCCGAAAGGCUGGCUAAUACUGGAUAGAUCAAGCGGAAUGUAAAGUUUCGAUUGGGAAAGGGAGCGGGCAACCGCCUUCGCUUUUUGAUGAGCCCGCGUCUGAUUAGCUAGUUGGUGAGGUAAUGGCUCACCAAGGCUGAGAUCAGUAGCUGGUCUGAGAGGAUGAUCAGCCACACUGGAACUGAAACACGGUCCAGACUCCUACGGGAGGCAGCAGUGGGGAAUCUUGCGCAAUGGACGAAAGUCUGACGCAGCCACGCCGCGUGAGUGAAGAAGGCCUUCGGGUUGUAAAGCUCUGUCGGAGGGGACAAAAACCAUCUAGGUUAAUAGCCUAGGUGCUUGAUGGUACCCUUAAAGGAAGCACCGGCUAACUUCGUGCCAGCAGCCGCGGUAAUACGAAGGGUGCAAGCGUUGCUCGGAAUUAUUGGGCGUAAAGGGUAGGUAGGUGGUUACGUAUGUCUGGGGUGAAAUCCCUGAGCUUAACUCAGGACGUGCCUUGGAAACGGCGUAACUAGAGUACUGGAGAGGUUCGUGGAAUUCCCGGUGUAGCGGUGAAAUGCGUAGAGAUCGGGAGGAACACCAGCGGCGAAGGCGGCGAACUGGACAGUAACUGACACUCAACUACGAAAGCGUGGGUAGCAAACAGGAUUAGAUACCCUAGUAGUCC
rnacentral:rRNA from 1 species